rnacentral:lncRNA from 10 species
UGAGGAAAAGCUCAUUCUCAUUCAUGUGACUUGCUUUGGCUAAUAGGACACCAGAGCAUGAUGCAAGUGUGGCUUAAUCGGUGCUUGCACAUUGGGCUUGUUCUUUCCAAACCUGUUGCCCCGAUUCUGCAAGGCUAUCCUGCUGUAGAAGGAGGCCCUGGAGGACAAGACACCAUGUGGGGAAAACAGCCAUGGGGAGCAGAACCGAGGUAUCCCAGCUUAGCUCCCAACUGACAGCAGCCACAUGAGUGAGCAGAAAAACAACUUCCAAGGGUGAUUUAGCUACUGCUGCUGUGGAAUGUCAAAACUUUCAGCAAGGGAGCCCGAUGCAGAUCUGUUGAUAUGACACCAUUCCACAAGAAGACCAACUGAUGGCUUUGUGGCAAGUUGACUACACUGGGCUGUUUCUAUUCUGGGAAGACAGAGAUUUGUUCUAAGAGGAAUAGGCAUGUGUUGCAGGCAUAGGUUGACCUUUCCUGCCAUGGAGCCUCCUCUGGUACCACUAUUUGAAGGUUGAAGGAAUGUUGAUUCACCAGGAUUGAGUCAGACCAGCCAAGCCUAUGACCAUGAUGUCAACUGACUGUAUCACCUGUCACAUCAUCCAGAAGCUACAGACUUAUAAGGCAUUGGAAUAACUUGUAGAUGGCCCCGUUAAAGUACCAGCUUAGAGGCAACACUCCAUGAGAAUGAGACAUCAUCUCCAGGAUGGCACAUACACAUUGAAUCACACAGCAUUGAUAAGGAGAUGGCUCCCCAGUAGGAAGAAUAUAUUGGUCAUGAACCAAGGGAUGAAGCAGAAGUGUCUUGCUUCCUGUCCCUGCAGCCUCUCUUUCUGCAGUGCUAGAAAUCCUGGUCAAAAGGGGGCAUAAUUUUAUCAGGGGACACAGCAAAAGUCUCCACUACAUUGCAGCUAUGCCUGCUGCCUGGGGAUUUUGGGCUUCUUAUAAUUGGGACCAGCAAUAAAAGAGAAGAGUCACAGUCUUGGCAGGGCUAAUUGACCCUGAUCAGCAGGAGAAGAAAGGCUGUGGUUCCACUAUGAGGGUAGGGAAGACGUGUGGCACCACUGAUCCACUUUUGCAACCCAUGGUACUCCCGUGGCCAGUUGUGAUGACAGACAAGUGCAGGAACACUUUUGGGAAGGGCAUGGUGGCCAGAGUUCAGACCCCAUGGGAAUGAGGACCAGGGUCACACCACUGGAUAAGCCAGGAGGAAGAGAGGCCCACUGGAAGGCUGGAGGAGCUGCUCCCCAGAUGUAGAUGAAGUAGAUUUGAGCAGCACAGUGGUGGACCUAGUAGAGGCGGACAUCAAGAUCCUCUUCAAGGAAAGAUUAUCAAUAUAGUUUUCCCUGACCCAGGUGCCAUGUGUUUUCUGUCAUAUUCACGUAUGCUAAUACAUAAUUGUGCAAGUGGGGUAAUAUCUGGGACACUUCAUGGUUCAUAUCAAAACACAGAGUGAAGAGAACAUCCUCUGGGCCAUCUCAGAGUGUGAGUUUGGGGCGGGGGUGGCUCCUGGUUAACAUUUCUGUCCACUGCAGCAUUCCUUUUCCCUUUUGCUUUUAGAUUCUUCCCUUGACAUCACACCAGGAAAGUCUGACAACUUAACUUUAUUGGAUAUAGGCAACCGUUGAAUCCAAGUUUUGCCCACUGAAUCCAUCAAAUUGUUACAGCCAAUUCUAGAUGCCUGAGUGGACACAUGAAAUCCAGAUUCCC